CCGCCGCUGCCGGCGCCGCGCCGAGCGGAGCCCGGCCGGCCACGGGCUGCCUCUCUCGAGGUCCCUUUCCCGAGGGGGGAGGUGGUGGGGGCGCGGCGCAGGCGGGGCGGGGAGGAGAGGAGAGUCCGGGGGAGGCGGCAAGGCUGCGCCCUCGGCUCUCUUCCGAUCCCCGCGGGCCCUGCGGCCCCAGGCCGGGCCGGAGAGCGCCGGGCCGGAGAGAGCCGAGCCGCCAGGCAGCGGAGGGAGAGAGGAGGAGGACCCGGAGUCUCGCCGCGGGAGGGUGCCCAGGGCGAGGGCGUGCGAGGGGGAGUGACUCCGCGCGCGAGGGUGUGUAAGAGUGUGAGUGCGUGUGUGUGUGUCUGUGUGUGUGGAGAGGGGCGCGCGCGUGAGCGGGGGGUGGGGAAACGAGGCAGAGCCUGGUGCGUCUCCCCGGGCGAGUGGAGGAAUCCUAGGGUGUGCCUGGAGGUGGCGGAGUGUACCGACGCGGGUGUGAGCGCGUGUGCCAGCGAGGGUGGGCACGGGGGUGAGUGUGGCAAGGCACUUCUUUCUUAAAACCAGCAAUGUGGAACGUGCGAAGGACCCUGAACUAAGAGUGCGAGCCCUGGGUGACUACCUUGGCCUGCAACUUCCUGGCUGGGUGGCCUUGAGUGAGUCACUACUUCUCUAUGUCUCCAAUUUUUUAAAUCCAGAAGUGGGACUGCUGGUUGCUGCCCUGCUUGAUUAGAGGGCUAGAAGGUGGGCUUUCAUCUACCCCGGACUACAGGCAGCAGAGGCCCCAGAACACGGCCAGGCCUGAGACUAGUCCCCACCUCCCCUCUCCCUGGGAGGCCCUUGGUGGCCAGCAGCCAGGACCUCAGGGAUAUUUCUGGCUUCAGCUGUAUCCUUUUGACUUCAAGAUCCAUGCAAGACACUAAAAUAGAGAAACCCUGAUUUACUGAGGGUUCACUUAAGAUCAAAACUAAGAGGAAGCUUGAGACCACAGCUCCUCCUAACAGGAUGUCCUCCUCCAAUUCCUGCCUGCCCUCCAGAGCCCUGUGUCCCCGCCUGACUGACUAUUGACUUCCCUCAGCACUUACUUUUUCUUCCAGAGGACCCUCCUCAGCCCCUUCCUCCUUAUCCAAGACGCUCCUGCCACUGCCUUCAGGCCCCUCACCACCUCCAUCACAAGCAUCUCUCUCUCAAAUCCCUGCGUCUCUUCCUCCAUGUUUUUCAGGCCUCCAGUGCCUGAAGACAGAGCUGAACUCUGAAGACAUUUAGAUCUUUAGCCAUCAGUCUGAGGAGAAAUCUGCAUUUAUUAUGGUUUUCUGAGUCUAACGAGAGAGAAUAAUCGAUUCAUCCACUCAAACAGUUUUGUAAAGCACAGCACCAAAGUUUGCUUUAAUACUUAGGAAAAUGCCCACUGGCUUCCCUCUUUGAGGACUUGUUCUCCUGCCUCUGUCCCUGCCACAGCAGGUUCCCCAUGGAAAUGGGCUGGGCUCCAGCUCCAGGCCGCUGGGGUUACCUUCAAAGCCCUGGAUACUCACCUCCCCUCAGGUCCUUUGC
rnacentral:lncRNA from 10 species